rnacentral:lncRNA from 1 species
AAUUAUUCUGCUAUAAAUCCUAAACAUAUAGUUAACCAUACUUGUUACAAAUUAUAAAAUACAAAGUCAGUAACAGAAUACAGAGUACAUCUGCAUUGAGCUCUAUUUCUUAAUAAUAUUAUCAAUGCUUGACCAUUUUUCUUUUAAUCUUAUUGCUUUACUGGUAGAGCACAAGUUCAUAGAGACCAUGUCAACCCUAUAAUAAUAGUUUAGCCAUUCAAUUGCUUCAGCAACAGAUGGG